AGGCAAGCGGAUCUCUUAAAGCUGUUCUCAGUUCGGACUGCAGUCUGCAACUCGACUGCACGAAGCUGGAAUCGCUAGUAAUCGCGGAUCAGCACGCCGCGGUGAAUACGUUCCCGGGCCUUGUACACACCGCCCGUCACACCAUGGAAGUCUGCAAUGCCCGAAGCCGGUGGCCUAACCACUUAUGUGGAAGGAGCCGUCUAAGGCAGGGCAGAUGACUGGGGUGAAGUCGUAACAAGGUAUC
rnacentral:rRNA from 1 species